rnacentral:rRNA from 1 species
UUUAGAGAGUUUGAUCCUGGCUCAGGGUGAACGCUGGCGGUGCGCCUAAUGCAUGCAAGUCGAGCGAACCUGUGACUUCGGUCACACAUAGGUUAGCGGCGGACGGCUGAGUAACACGUGAGUAACUUGCCUUUUGGUGGGGUAUAGCCCAGAGAAAUCUGGAUUAAUCCCGCAUAAGAUCUUAGAACCCUGGUUCUUUGAUGAAAGCCUUCGGGCGCCGAAAGAGAGGCUCGCGGACUAUCAGGUAGUUGGUGGGGUAAUGGCCUACCAAGCCUAAGACGGUUAGCUGGU